CACUCCCACCACGGCCCGGGCCACUGCACUGCGCCAUCCAAGGACGACUGGACGAGGAAGAAAAAGGAUUUCGAAAAAGCGACGCUGCCGGGUAUAUAUACGGCGCCGGCGCCGAGGAGAGAGGACCCCGGCCGAUCCCGCACCCCUGACUGUCAGCCGCGAUCCGCUCUUGUAGGCUCCCUCCCUCUCCGACCCGCGUCUCCCUCCUCCCACUCCACUGCUCCUGUUUUGCGUGCAGCGGCGGAGCAGGAGAGAUGGCGUCGGAGGCCAAGGACGUGGGCAUCCUCGCCAUGGACAUCUACUUCCCGCCCAACUGCGUGCUCCAGGAAGAGUUGGAAACACAUGAUGGCGUGAGCAAAGGGAAGUAUACCAUUGGGCUUGGGCAGGAAAGUAUGGCAUUUUGCACUGAAGUUGAGGAUGUUAUUUCGAUGAGCUUGACAGUGGUGAAGUCCCUCCUGAAAAAUUAUAACAUUGACCCAAUGUGCAUUGGACGUUUGGAAGUUGGCAGUGAAACAGUAAUAGACAAGAGCAAGUCUAUAAAGACAUGGCUGAUGCAGAUAUUUGAGGAAUCUGGCAAUACUGAUAUUGAAGGAGUUGACUCCUCGAAUGCAUGUUAUGGUGGAACAGCUGCAUUGUUUAAUUGUGUUAACUGGGUUGAAAGCAAGUCAUGGGAUGGUCGCUAUGGACUUGUUGUUUGCACAGACAGUGCGGUUUACGCUGAAGGUCCGGCUCGCCCUACUGGUGGUGCGGCUGCUAUUGCAAUGCUGAUUGGACCAAAUGCUCCUAUUUGUUUUGAAAGUAAAUAUAGAGGAUCUCAUAUGGCCCAUGUAUACGACUUUUACAAGCCCGAUCUUGCGAGUGAAUAUCCGGUGGUUGAUGGGAAGCUAUCACAAACAUGCUACCUCAUGGCAUUGGACUCCUGCUACAAUGUAUUUUGCAAAAAGUAUGAAAAACAUGAGGGGAAGCAGUUUUCAAUUUCUGAUGCAGAUUAUGUUGUGUUCCAUUCUCCAUACAACAAGCUUGUACAGAAAAGCUUCGCUCGUUUGUACUACAAUGAUUUCUUGAGAAACUGCAGCACGGUUGAUGGAGAGUCAAGGGAAAAAUUGGCACCCUAUGCAGGCUUGUCAUCUGAAGAAAGCUACCAGAGUCGCGACCUUGAAAAGGCAUCUCAGCAAGUCGCCAAGAAUCUGUACGAGACCAAGGUUCAGCCAACAACAUUGAUCCCAAAACAAGUUGGGAAUAUGUAUACAGCAUCACUCUACGCAGCUCUUGCAUCGGUUGUCCAUAGUAGGCAUGAAACUCUGUUUUUCCCCCCUGUGCUUUUGACAUGUCCAGGCAGGCCAGAGGAUUGUUAUGUUUUCGUAUGGCAGUGGGUUGACAUCAACAAUGUUCUCUUUCAUGAUUAAUGAAGGCCAUCACCCUUUCAGUCUGCUAAACAUCGCAAACAUACUGGAUAUUUCCAAGAAGCUGAAGGCAAGGCACGUGGUUCCCCCAGAGAAAUUUGUGGAGGCACUGAAACUGAUGGAGCACCGCUAUGGGGCAAGAGAUUUCGUGACGAAUCAAGAUACAAGUCUGCUAUCCGCAGGCACAUACUAUCUCACGCACGUUGACUCCAAGUACAGAAGGUUCUACGACGUGAAAGGUGACGGUGUCGCCACUGCAAUGUCCAACGGCCACUGAUCUUUCUUCUGCCCGAAGCUGCAACAAGUCAAAUAACAGAGGCAAGUGUCCUAAGCAUCCUUAGAUUAUUAUAUCUAUUAAGAGGGGAAGCUCGAGUUAUAGAUUAAUCUAUGCCCAGCUGUAAGGUUGUAAAGUUAGUUAGAGCUGCGCAUGCUUGUUUAGUAAAAGCUCUGCUGCUCUUCAGUUAUUUAGCGAAUCAAGCACACUGCUGGGCUAAUAAGAAUUGUAAACAAUAAUCUGCAGAAUCACUGGCUACAUCCAGGUUAUGCUGAUGAAUGCACGAUUUCAUGUUUAACACGAUCAAUGCAUCUGGUUACAUCCAGGUUAUGCUGAUGAAUGGACAUUUUGGUUCCA